rnacentral:rRNA from 1 species
AUUGAACGCUGGCGGAAUGCUUUACACAUGCAAGUCGAACGGUAGAGGGGGCAACCCCCUUGAGAGUGGCGAACGGGUGAGUAAUAUAUCGGAACGUGCCCAGUCGUGGGGGAUAACGUAGCGAAAGUUACGCUAAUACCGCAUACGAUCUAAGGAUGAAAGCGGGGGACUCGCAAGAGCCUCGCGCGAUUGGAGCGGCCGAUAUCAGAUUAGGUAGUUGGUGGGGUAAAGGCUCACCAAGCCAACGAUCUGUAGCUGGUCUGAGAGGACGACCAGCCACACUGGAACUGAGACACGGUCCAGACUCCUACGGGAGGCAGCAGUGGGGAAUUUUGGACAAUGGACGCAAGUCUGAUCCAGCCAUUCCGCGUGCAGGAUGAAGGCCCUCGGGUUGUAAACUGCUUUUGUACGGAACGAAAAGGUUUCUAUUAAUACUAGGAGCUCAUGACGGUACCGUAAGAAUAAGCACCGGCUAACUACGUGCCA